rnacentral:lncRNA from 1 species
CUUCACUCUGUAUCAUAGGCUCCAGUUUCAUUCACCUCAUUAGAACGGAUUCAAAUGUAUCGUAUUCAGUUCAGUUCAGUUGCUCAUUCCUGUCUGACUCUUUGCAACCCCAUGAAUUGCAGCAUGCCAGGCUUCCCUUUCCAUCACCACUCCUAGAGCUUACUUAACUCAUAUCCAUCGAGUCAGUGAUGCCAUCCAACUAUCUCAUCCUCUGUCGUCCCCUUCUUCUCCAGCCUUCAAUCUUUCCCAGCAUCAGGGUCUUUUCCAAUGAGUCAAUUCUUCCCAUCAGGUGGCCAAAGUAUUGGAGUUUCAGCUUCAGCAUCAAUCCUUCCAAUGAAUAUUCAAGACAGAGUUCCUUUAGAAUGGACUGGUUGGAUCUCCUUGCAGUUCAAGGGACUCUCACAAGUCUUCUCCAACACCUCAGUCUAUUAGCAAAACUAAUAACUGAAACUGUGUUGAGCAAAGAGUAUGGAGAUGAAAGCUUUUAAGACUUUUCUGGACUGUCAGCUGAUUACCUGCAAUGAUUAAGCCUCAGGGACCUCCUGGGAAGUGCUGUUCCCUCUGUGCUGCUUCUGCUUUAUAGAAAGAAAGGUUCACUGUUUUGAUCACAUCUCCUGAUGACUACGGGCUUCCCUGGUGGCUACACAAUGACAUAUAUUUAAUUGGAGAGUAGCUCAGAGUAGCGGAG